rnacentral:lncRNA from 1 species
UCAUAAAAUUUUUUGACAACCUUUUGAUCCAACAAAGCUUCACCAUAUGAACGCAUGGUGGUUACUAGUUCCAUAACUUUUGAGAAAAAAAGAAUGAAUAGAUUUAUUUUAUUGCAUAAAAGUAGUCUCAAAUUUACGUCGUAAAGUUUGAAGUUUGACUCUAAGGGGCUGUUUGGUUGCAUGUUUUUCCAACUACAAUGCAGUUGGAAAUACAUGCAUCAAUUAUUUUUUUGUUUGGUUUGGUGCAGUUGGGCUCAACUGCAGCAGUUACACCCGCAUGAACGGGCCCAACUGCAGCAGUUGGGCCCGAGUCUGCUCUUCCCAAAAAAAAUAAACUCUAUUUUUUUUCAUUUGCUAUUUUUUUUCCCAAAAAUAUCUAUUC